UAUGCACGGUGUUAAUAACCCUAAUCACACGCGUGACAACACGACAUGACACACAAAACACACGCUUCAUGCAACUACCUGUACAUCUAGAGAUAGCUAACUUUCAAAUAGUUUGCUUAUGAUUGCGCGUUUGAGGUUUCACACGGGGGGGAAAAAAAGCAACUGACUUGCCCACGCAAGGCAAAUCAAAUGAUGUCAGGUUGGUGUUUUGCUUGUAGUUCUGCAACUUCAAGAGUUGCUGAUCGCAGCGUUGCCCUUCCGAAUGACACUAUCCCACAUCACCUGCUGGUGGGACUCUCGACAACCUCCACACCGUGCAGCCCAUGUAAUCAGCCAAAACCGGCCGAAGCCUUUUCGUGACUGCAUAUUCAUUACAGCCAGUGACUGGUGAUUUCCACCAGGAAGCUGCCCAGCUGCAGUACAGGUGCCACGACCCUGACCAAGACCCUGACAGGACCACCAGGGCCGUACACGCCACGCCAUGGAAACCUCCCUCCAGCCUCCACACACACUCCUCAGACGCCUUGGAAUGAGCCAAAUUUGUUGUUCGAUGGCUUUACUAUAAAAGAAAGAGAAAAAUGCCGUCUUUCUCGUUGGUAGUCGAUGAACAAACAAGCAGGCCAUGUACUUGUUAUUUCCACUGGGAAUGUAUUAACACUUUAGUGGCGUUCUCUUUCUUUUCCAUCACAUUUGAAAAUCUGAAUUUUGAUAUCUCUGAUAGAGUGAUAUACAACUUUUUAAAAAAAGAUUUUGAGUUUGUGUAUGGCUGAACUCACCCCUUCCACCAUCCAAACACAGUGCUCAAAAACCUCAGUUUAGAUAAGUUCAAUGUGAUUUGUUGUAAUAAAAUCUUGUUUGCAGCCAGUUUUAACAAAAAAAAAACACAACAAAAAUGCAAACAGGCAUCAUAAAAAACACAUGACAGCACAAAUCCAUAAUAUUUAAAUAGCUAGCAUUCACUUGGUUACCACAUUUAAUGUAGCUCAGAUAAAAUUCUAAACUAAAGGAUGUUACAUAGGCACUAGUAAGAAUGGGACAGUCCUAACUAUUCCUAAGAAUCAGUUUUCACAUGCAAGUGAUGGAUCUUAACUGAAAUAAUAGACUGUGUAGUUGCUGUGUCUGUUUCUGAGGUAUUACUUGCUUCCUCUUUUGAAGAAAAAAAUUAACUACGUGUUUUAGAUAAACAGCUAAUAUAUGUCCUAUUAUCGAAUCAGUCAGGACAGUAGAAAGUGACUCAGUUGUAUCUGGGUAAAGUAUAUACGAAACCACUCGGAAAUCGGACGUUAAUUUAACAGCCUUGUCAUGUCCAGAAAUCCUCUUUUAAUAAAUGAUUCAUCAGUGGACUGAUGAAGUCAGUAAAACUAA